rnacentral:tRNA from 1 species
GCCUGGGUGGCUCAGCUGGUUAAGCAUCUGACUUCAGCUCAGGUUGUGAUCUCACAGCUUGUGGGUUCAAGCUCCACAUCAGGCU